rnacentral:rRNA from 1 species
CCUACGGGGGGCUGCAGUGGGGAAUAUUGGACAAUGGGCGCAAGCCUGAUCCAGCAAUGCCGCGUGUGUGAAGAAGGCCUUCGGGUUGUAAAGCACUUUUAUCGGGAGCGAAAAGCGCAGGGUUAAUACCCGUGCGUCAUGACGGUACCUGAUGAAUAAGCACCGGCUAACUUCGUGCCAGCAGCCGCGGUAAUACGAAGGGUGCAAGCGUUAAUCGGAAUUACUGGGCGUAAAGCGUGCGUAGGUGGUCUUUUAAGUCCGUUGUGAAAGCCCUG